rnacentral:rRNA from 1 species
AUUGAACGCUGGCGGCAGGCCUAACACAUGCAAGUCGAACGAGUGGCGGACGGGUGAGUAAUGUCUGGGAAACUGCCCGAUGGAGGGGGAUAACUACUGGAAACGGUAGCUAAUACCGCAUACCAUCGGAUGUGCCCAGAUGGGAUUAGCUAGUAGGUGGGGUAACGGCUCACCUAGGCGACGAUCCCUAGCUGGUCUGAGAGGAUGACCGGCCACACUGGGACUGAGACACGGUCCAGACUCCUACGGGAGGCAGCAGUGGGGAAUUUUGCACAAUGGGCGCAAGCCUGACGCAGCCACGCCGCGUGUAUGAAGAAGGCCUUCGGGUUGUAAAGUUCUGUUAGAGGAGAGGCGUUAUUCGAACAAGAAGCAACGGCUAACUCCGUGCCAGCCGCCGCGGUAAUAC